UACAGAGGGUGCAAGCGUUAAUCGGAAUUACUGGGCGUAAAGCGCACGUAGGCGGGUAUUUAAGUCGAUUGUGAAAGCCCCGGGCUUAACCUGGGAACUGCAGUCGAUACUGGAUGCCUAGAGUAUGGUAGAGGAAGGUGGAAUUCCCGGUGUAGCGGUGAAAUGCAUAGAUAUCGGGAGGAACAUCAGUGGCGAAGGCGGCCUUCUGGACCAAUACUGACGCUGAGGUGCGAAAGCGUGGGGAGCAAACAGG
rnacentral:rRNA from 1 species